rnacentral:rRNA from 2 species
AACUUUCAACAACGGAUCUCUUGGUUCCAGCAUCGAUGAAGAACGCAGCGAAAUGCGAUAAGUAAUGUGAAUUGCAGAAUUCAGUGAAUCAUCGAAUCUUUGAACGCACAUUGC